GAUGAACGCUGGCGGCGUGCCUAAUACAUGCAAGUCGAGCGAAGGGACGAGGAGCUUUCUUCUCUGAUGUUAGCGGCGGACGGGUGAGUAACACGUGGAUAACCUACCUAUAAGACUGGGAUAACUUCGGGAAACCGUAGCUAAUACCGGAUAAUAUUAUUAACCGCAUGGUUCAAAAGUGAAAGACGGUCUUGCUGUCACUUAUCGAUGGAUCCGCUCUGCAUUGGCUAGUUGGGAAGGUAACGGCUUACCAAGGCAACGAUGCAUAGCCGACCUGAGAGAGUGGUCGGCCACACUGGAAGUGAGCCACGGUCCAGGCUCCUACGGGAGGCAGCAGUCGGGAAUCUUCCGCAAUGGGCGAAAGCCUGACGGAGCAACGCCGCGUGAGUGAUGACGGUCCUCGGAUCGUAAAACCGUGUUAUUAGGGAAGAACAUAUGUGUAAGUAACAGAGCACAUCGUGACGGUACCUAAACAGAAAGCAACGGCUAACUACGUG
rnacentral:rRNA from 1 species